UGGGGAAUUUUGGACAAUGGGCGCAAGCCUGAUCCAGCCAUGCCGCGUGCAGGAUGAAGGCCUUCGGGUUGUAGACUGCUUUUGUACGGAACGAAAAGGUGCCUUCUAAUAAAGGGCGCUCAUGACGGUACCGUAAGAAUAAGCACCGGCUAACUACGUGCCAGCAGCCGCGGUAAUACGUAGGGUGCGAGCGUUAAUCGGAAUUACUGGGCGUAAAGCGUGCGCAGGCGGUUUUGUAAGACAGAGGUGAAAUCCCCGGGCUCAACCUGGGAACUGCCUUUGUGACUGCAAGGCUGGAGUGCGGCAGAGGGGGAUGGAAUUCCGCGUGUAGCAGUGAAAUGCGUAGAUAUGCGGAGGAACACCGAUGGCGAAGGCAAUCCCCUGGGCCUGCACUGACGCUCAUGCACGAAAGCGUGGGGAGCAAACA
rnacentral:rRNA from 1 species